rnacentral:rRNA from 1 species
AAUAGAUACCCGGGUAGUCCACGCCGUAAACGAUGUCGACUAGGUGUCGGGGGUAUCGACCCCCUCGGCGCCGCAGCUAACGCAUUAAGUCGACCGCCUGGGGACUACGGCCGCAAGGCUAAAACUCAAAGGAAUUGACGGGGGCCCGCACAAGCAGCGGAGCGUGUGGUUUAAUUCGAAGCAACGCGAAGAACCUUACCAGGUCUUGACAUCCUCUGACACUCCUAGAGAUAGGAUUUUCCCCUUCGGGGGACAGAGUGACAGGUGGUGCAUGGUUGUCGUCAGCUCGUGUCGUGAGAUGUUGGGUUAAGUCCCGCAACGAGCGCAACCCUUGAUCUUAGUUGCCAGCAUUUAGUUGGGCACUCUAAGGUGACUGCCGGUGACAAACCGGAGGAAGGUGGGGAUGACGUCAAAUCAUCAUGCCCCUUAUGACCUGGGCUACACACGUGCUACAAUGGAUGGUACAAAGGGCAGCGAAGCCGCGAGGUGGAGCCAAUCCCAUAAAACCAUUCUCAGUUCGGAUUGCAGGCUGC